GACGAACGCUGGCGGCGUGCUUAACACAUGCAAGUCGAACGGAAAGGCCCCUUUGGGGGUCCUCGAGUGGCGCACGGGUGAGUAACACGUGGGUAACCUGCCCUUGACUUCGGGAUAACUUCAGGAAACUGGGGCUAAUACCGGAUAGGAAUCCUUGCUGCAGGGUGGGGGUUGGAAAGCUUCGGCGGUUUUGGAUGGACUCGCGGCUUAUCAGCUUGUUGGUGGGGUAGUGGCUUACCAAGGCUUUGACGGGUAGCCGGCCUGAGAGGGCGACCGGCCACAUUGGGACUGAGAUACGGCCCAGACGCCUACGGGAGGCAGCAGUGGGGAAUAUUGCACAAUGGGCGGAAGCCGGAUGCAGCAACGCCGCGUGCGGGAUGACGGCCUUCGGGUUGUAAACCGCUUUCAGCAGGGGCGAAGCUUGUGGUGACGGUACCUGCAGAAGAAGCACCGGCUAACUACGUG
rnacentral:rRNA from 1 species